UGUCGAUGGUCCUCCUUGCAGGGCGUCUUCUCUUGGGAGGAGUCGCAGCGUCCCAGGACUUAGUUCCGCUGCGUUGCGGGCGCCGAUGGUGGUGAACCCUGGUGGGAGGCCGGUGUGGCCUUUAG
ensembl:misc_RNA